UAGGAAGUGGUGUAGUUGGGAGCACGGAGAGUUUUGAUCUCUCUAGUUAGGGUUCGAGUCCCUUCUUUCUAA
rnacentral:tRNA from 1 species